rnacentral:rRNA from 1 species
GGUUAAGCGACUAAGCGUACACGGUGGAUGCCCUGGCAGUCAGAGGCGAUGAAGGACGUGCUAAUCUGCGAUAAGCGUCGGUAAGGUGAUAUGAACCGUUAUAACCGGCGAUUUCCGAAUGGGGAAACCCAGUGUGUUUCGACACACUAUCAUUAACUGAAUCCAUAGGUUAAUGAGGCGAACCGGGGGAACUGAAACAUCUAAGUACCCCGAGGAAAAGAAAUCAACCGAGAUUCCCCCAGUAGCGGCGAGCGAACGGGGAGCAGCCCAGAGCCUGAAUCAGUGUGUGUGUUAGUGGAAGCGUCUGGAAAGGCGCGCGAUACAGGGUGACAGCCCCGUACACAAAAAUGCACAUAAUGUGAGCUCGAUGAGUAGGGCGGGACACGUGGUAUCCUGUCUGAAUAUGGGGGGGACCAUCCUCCAAGGCUAAAUACUCCUGACUGACCGAUAGUGAACCAGUACCGUGAGGGAAAGGCGAAAAGAACCCCGGCGAGGGGAGUGAAAAAGAACCUGAAACCGUGUACGUACAAGCAGUGGGAGCCUCUUUUAUGGGGUGACUGCGUACCUUUUGUAUAAUGGGUCAGCGACUUAUAUUCUGUAGCAAGGUUAACCGAAUAGGGGAGCCGAAGGGAAACCGAGUCUUAACUGGGCGUUAAGUUGCAGGGUAUAGACCCGAAACCCGGUGAUCUAGCCAUGGGCAGGUUGAAGGUUGGGUAACACUAACUGGAGGACCGAACCGACUAAUGUUGAAAAAUUAGCGGAUGACUUGUGGCUGGGGGUGAAAGGCCAAUCAAACCGGGAGAUAGCUGGUUCUCCCCGAAAGCUAUUUAGGUAGCGCCUCGUGAAUUCAUCUCCGGGGGUAGAGCACUGUUUCGGCAAGGGGGUCAUCCCGACUUACCAACCCGAUGCAAACUGCGAAUACCGGAGAAUGUUAUCACGGGAGACACACGGCGGGUGCUAACGUCCGUCGUGAAGAGGGAAACAACCCAGACCGCCAGCUAAGGUCCCAAAGUCAUGGUUAAGUGGGAAACGAUGUGGGAAGGCCCAGACAGCCAGGAUGUUGGCUUAGAAGCAGCCAUCAUUUAAAGAAAGCGUAAUAGCUCACUGGUCGAGUCGGCCUGCGCGGAAGAUGUAACGGGGCUAAACCAUGCACCGAAGCUGCGGCAGCGACACUAUGUGUUGUUGGGUAGGGGAGCGUUCUGUAAGCCUGCGAAGGUGUGCUGUGAGGCAUGCUGGAGGUAUCAGAAGUGCGAAUGCUGACAUAAGUAACGAUAAAGCGGGUGAAAAGCCCGCUCGCCGGAAGACCAAGGGUUCCUGUCCAACGUUAAUCGGGGCAGGGUGAGUCGACCCCUAAGGCGAGGCCGAAAGGCGUAGUCGAUGGGAAACAGGUUAAUAUUCCUGUACUUGGUGUUACUGCGAAGGGGGGACGGAGAAGGCUAUGUUGGCCGGGCGACGGUUGUCCCGGUUUAAGCGUGUAGGCUGGUUUUCCAGGCAAAUCCGGAAAAUCAAGGCUGAGGCGUGAUGACGAGGCACUACGGUGCUGAAGCAACAAAUGCCCUGCUUCCAGGAAAAGCCUCUAAGCAUCAGGUAACAUCAAAUCGUACCCCAAACCGACACAGGUGGUCAGGUAGAGAAUACCAAGGCGCUUGAGAGAACUCGGGUGAAGGAACUAGGCAAAAUGGUGCCGUAACUUCGGGAGAAGGCACGCUGAUAUGUAGGUGAAGUCCCUCGCGGAUGGAGCUGAAAUCAGUCGAAGAUACCAGCUGGCUGCAACUGUUUAUUAAAAACACAGCACUGUGCAAACACGAAAGUGGACGUAUACGGUGUGACGCCUGCCCGGUGCCGGAAGGUUAAUUGAUGGGGUCAGCGCAAGCGAAGCUCUUGAUCGAAGCCCCGGUAAACGGCGGCCGUAACUAUAACGGUCCUAAGGUAGCGAAAUUCCUUGUCGGGUAAGUUCCGACCUGCACGAAUGGCGUAAUGAUGGCCAGGCUGUCUCCACCCGAGACUCAGUGAAAUUGAACUCGCUGUGAAGAUGCAGUGUACCCGCGGCAAGACGGAAAGACCCCGUGAACCUUUACUAUAGCUUGACACUGAACAUUGAGCCUUGAUGUGUAGGAUAGGUGGGAGGCUUAGAAGUGUGGACGCCAGUCUGCAUGGAGCCGACCUUGAAAUACCACCCUUUAAUGUUUGAUGUUCUAACGUGGACCCGUAAUCCGGGUUGCGGACAGUGUCUGGUGGGUAGUUUGACUGGGGCGGUCUCCUCCUAAAGAGUAACGGAGGAGCACGAAGGUUGGCUAAUCCUGGUCGGACAUCAGGAGGUUAGUGCAAUGGCAUAAGCCAGCUUGACUGCGAGCGUGACGGCGCGAGCAGGUGCGAAAGCAGGUCAUAGUGAUCCGGUGGUUCUGAAUGGAAGGGCCAUCGCUCAACGGAUAAAAGGUACUCCGGGGAUAACAGGCUGAUACCGCCCAAGAGUUCAUAUCGACGGCGGUGUUUGGCACCUCGAUGUCGGCUCAUCACAUCCUGGGGCUGAAGUAGGUCCCAAGGGUAUGGCUGUUCGCCAUUUAAAGUGGUACGCGAGCUGGGUUUAGAACGUCGUGAGACAGUUCGGUCCCUAUCUGCCGUGGGCGCUGGAGAACUGAGGGGGGCUGCUCCUAGUACGAGAGGACCGGAGUGGACGCAUCACUGGUGUUCGGGUUGUCAUGCCAAUGGCACUGCCCGGUAGCUAAAUGCGGAAGAGAUAAGUGCUGAAAGCAUCUAAGCACGAAACUUGCCCCGAGAUGAGUUCUCCCUGACUCCUUGAGAGUCCUGAAGGAACGUUGAAGACGACGACGUUGAUAGGCCGGGUGUGUAAGCGCAGCGAUGCGUUGAGCUAACCGGUACUAAUGAACCGUGAGGCUUAACCUU